UGGGGAAUAUUGCACAAUGGGCGAAAGCCUGAUGCAGCAACGCCGCGUGAGUGAUGAAGGCCUUCGGGUUGUAAAGCUCUGUCUUUUGGGACGAUAAUGACGGUACCAAAGGAGGAAGCCACGGCUAACUACGUGCCAGCAGCCGCGGUAAUACGUAGGUGGCAAGCGUUGUCCGGAUUUACUGGGCGUAAAGGAUGCGUAGGCGGAUUUUUAAGUGAGAUGUGAAAUACCCGGGCUUAACUUGGGUGCUGCAUUUCAAACUGGGAAUCUAGAGUGCGGGAGAGGAGAAUGGAACUCCUAGUGUAGCGGUGAAAUGCGUAGAGAUUAGGAAGAACACCAGUGGCGAAGGCGAUUCUCUGGACCGUAACUGACGCUGAGGCAUGAAAGCGUGGGUAGCAAACAGGAUUAGAUACCCUGGUAGUCCACGCCGUAAACGAUGAGUACUAGGUGUAGGAGGUAUCGACCCCUUCUGUGCCGCAGUUAACACAACAAGUACUCCGCCUGGGAAGUACGAUCGCAAGAUUAAAACUCAAAGGAAUUGAC
rnacentral:rRNA from 1 species